AACGAACGCUGGCGGCAUGCCUAACACAUGCAAGUCGAACGAGACCUUCGGGUCUAGUGGCGCACGGGUGCGUCACGCGUGGGAACCUGCCCUUAGGUUCGGACUACCUCCCCGAAUGGGGUGCUAAUACCGGAUAAUGUCUUCGGCCCAAAGAUUUAUCGCCUUUGGAUGGGCCAGCGUUGGAUUAGCUUGUUGGUAGGGUAAAAGCCUACCACGGCGACGAUGCAUAGCUGGUCUGUGAGGAUGAUCAGCCACACUGAGAUUGAGACACGGCCCAGACUCCUACGGGAGGCAGCAGAGGGGAAUAUUGGACAAUGGGCUAAGGCCUGAUGCAGCAAGGACGCGAGAGUGAUGAUGGCCUUAGGGUUGUAAAGCUCUUUUACCCGGGAUGAUAAUGACAGUACCGAGAGAAUAAGCUCCGGCUAACUCCGUG
rnacentral:rRNA from 1 species